rnacentral:rRNA from 1 species
GACGAACGCUGGCGGCGUGCUUAACACAUGCAAGUCGAACGGUAAGGCCCUGCCUUUGUGGGGUGCUCGAGUGGCGAACGGGUGAGUAACACGUGAGUAACCUGCCCCUGACUUUGGGAUAACUUCAGGAAACUGGGGCUAAUACCGGAUAGGAGCUCCUGCUGCAUGGUGGGGGUUGGAAAGUUUUGGCGGUUGGGGAUGGACUCGCGGCUUAUCAGCUUGUUGGUGGGGUAAUGGCUUACCAAGGCGUUGACGGGUAGCCGGCCUGAGAGGGUGACCGGCCGCACUGGGACUGAGAUACGGCCCAGACUCCUACGGGAGGCAGCAGUGGGGAAUAUUGCACAAUGGGCGGAAGCCUGAUGCAGCAACGCCGCGUGCGGGAUGACGGCCUUCGGGUUGUAAACCGCUUUCGCCUGUGACGAAGCGUGAGUGACGGUAAUGGGUGAAGAAGCACCGGCUAACUACGUG